CACAUGAGGUAAGUAUUGUUGUUCCUCACACCAAUAAUGAUUUAACUAACCAAUUAUUUGUCCGUAUUCCAAUUGAACAGUAGACACAACCAUCAAUGAACACUCAUCCAAUGGUGACUCAUCAUAAGCUGCAUCGUGAACCUUCUUUUGCCUCACACAUGCUUCUUACGACCCACUCUUCUCCAGUUGAAUCGAAAACUUUAAAAACUGCCCUUAAGGAUUCCCGUUGGGUAGAUGCCAUGACAGAUGAACUUAGUGCUUUAUAUAAAAAUCACACUUGGACUUUAGUUCCGCGUCUAUCUAAUAUCAAUGUGAUUGGCUCUAAGUGGGUGUAUAGGCUAAAAUACAAAGAUGAUGGUUCCCUUGAUCGUUUUAAAACUUGUUUAGUAGCUAAAGGGUUCGCUCAAAUUCCUGGACAAGAGUUCUCUGAUACUUUCAGUUCCAUAGUUAAGGCUACUACUAUCAGACUACUUCUUACUCUAUCUCUAUCACAAGGUUGGUAUCUUAAUCAACUUGACGUAAAAAAUGCCUUCCUACAUAACACUCUCAAAGGAGCCGUUUACAUGGAAUAACCACCAGGAUUUGUAGAUGUUCAAUAUCCUGAACAUGUUUGUCUUUUGUAUAAAACCAUUUAUAGCCUCAAAUAAGCUCCUCGUGCCUGGUGGUGCUUUUUUGUCUAAAAAACAAUACAUCAAAGAUCUUCUUCAACGUGCAGGCAUGAGCACUUGCUCUGCCAUUGCAACACCAACCACCAUCAAAUCAAAAUUUCGACCCACCAAUGAAGGCCCAAUUGAUAUCUCUACUUACAGAAGUCUUGUCGGGGCUCUCCAAUACCUUGCUUUUACCAGACUCAACAUCACCUUUGCUCUAAAUCAAGUCUGUCAGCAUUUCAAUAAUCUGACACCACUCCAUAUGCGUGCUGUCAAGUGUAUUUUACGAUACUUAUAGGGCACUUCUGAUUAUGGCUUGCGGUAUCUCUCACACAAUCCUAUUAAUUUAUAUGGCUUUAGUGAUGCCGAUUGGGCAGGCUGCCAAACUAUCAGACGAAGUACAACCGGUUUCUGUAUCUAUCUUGGUGCAAAUUGCAUAUCCUGGAGCUCAAAGAAACAAUCCACUGUGUUGAGGUCCCGUGCUGAAGUUGAAUGUAGGUCCAUGGCCUCCAUUGCCGCUGAGCUUACUUGGAUUUCCUUCCUUUUACGUGAUAUGGGCAUUCCUUUACAUCAACCACCUUAGCUCUUUUGUGAUAAUAUAAGUGCCCGUCAUAUGACAGUCAAUCCUAUAUUCCAUACCCGUACCAAACACAUUGCUAUUGACUAUCAUUUUAUCAGAGAGAAAGUAGCACUUGGCUCUCUUAUCACACAUUACAUUCCCUCCACUCUUCAACUUAUUGAUUGUCAUCAUUAAAAUGGUAAUAUGAAAUUGAGAAGUAACUGAAGAUUUUGGUUUUCUUGAUCACAAAUUGGAAAAUUCAAAAUUUCUUAAGUUUGUACAUGGCAUCGACCUUUAUAAUCAAAUUGAUCACACUUAUCCUUCUCUA